rnacentral:rRNA from 1 species
AUUGAACGCUGGCGGCAUGCCUUACACAUGCAAGUCGAACGGCAGCACGGGAGCAAUCCUGGUGGCGAGUGGCGAACGGGUGAGUAAUACAUCGGAACGUGCCCAGUAGUGGGGGGAUAGCCCGGCGAAAGCCGGAUUAAUACCGCAUACGACCUACGGGUGAAAGCGGGGGAUCGCAAGACCUCGCGCUAUUGGAGCGGCCGAUGUCAGAUUAGCUUGUUGGUGGGGUAAAAGCCUACCAAGGCGACGAUCUGUAGCUGGUCUGAGAGGACGACCAGCCACACUGGGACUGAGACACGGCCCAGACUCCUACGGGAGGCAGCAGUGGGAAUUUUGGACAAUGGGCGCAAGCCUGAUCCAGCCAUGCCGCGUGCGGGAAGAAGGCCUCGGGUUGUAACGCUUUGUCA